rnacentral:rRNA from 1 species
CGCGUGGGCAACCUGCCCUAAAGUGAGGAAUACCGGCGAGAAAUCGCCGACAAUACCGCAUAGGCUCUGCAAAGAGCAAAGCUCGCAAGGGCGCUUUAGGAUGGGCCUGCGUCUGAUUAGCUAGUUGGUGAGGUCAUAGCUUACCAAGGCGACGAUCAGUAGCUGGUCUGGGAGGACGAUCAGCCACACUGGGAUUGAGAACGGCCCAG